GCGUCUAUAGCUCAGUGGAUAGAGCGUUACCCUCCGGAGGUAAAGGUCAAAGGUUCAAAUCCUUUUAGACGUGCC
rnacentral:tRNA from 1 species